rnacentral:tRNA from 1 species
GGCCCUAUCGUCUAGCCCGGCCUAGGACACCGGGUUUUCAUCCCGGCGACAGGGGUUCAAAUCCCCUUGGGGCUA